rnacentral:lncRNA from 1 species
AAUCCAACAAAGUAAUUAUUAUAAUUUAAGUAAUUGUGUACCUCAUUUCCAAAUUGGCCAACUACUGGUGAUGCAUGGUCUAAUUUAGAGUAUACAUUAUGUACAGCACGUAUAAGGGUACCAUCAUCUCCAACACCGGGUCUGUAUUGGUAUCAAGGAUUCAAAUAAUAUGUUGUUCAAAGAAACACAUACUCUAAUAAGAGAAAUAAUACUUAUGCAACUAAAGAAAUGAAUUGCAAAUUAUGACAUAAUUUAUACCUGCUGCAUGCAAAUCAUGGUAUAAUGUUUUAUACCAUCGAUCUUCAAUUAUCUUUAUGACCCACAUUGCACCAUGUUUUCUUUCCAAUUCAUCAUUCACUACACGCAUCAACUCAUAUAUUGCCCCUAUAGUAGGAUACACUUAUGUGUCAACAAUCCAUAAACCUUUGUAAAGAGGUUCAAACACUUGACACACAUGUUCUGAUUGAGUCCAAAAAGCAUGAUCAAGCAAUAUACUUUCCACCAUACGACCUGCAUUUGAGCGGCUCAAAUUGUGGUUGGCCCAAUUGUCACUAGU